UACGAAGGGGGCUAGCGUUGUUCGGAAUUACUGGGCGUAAAGCGCGCGUAGGCGGAUCAGGAAGUUGGGGGUGAAAUCCCGGGGCUCAACCCCGGAAUGGCCUUCAAGACUCCUGGUCUUGAGUUCGAGAGAGGUGAGUGGAAUUCCGAGUGUAGAGGUGAAAUUCGUAGAUAUUCGGAGGAACACCAGUGGCGAAGGCGGCUCACUGGCUCGACACUGACGCUGAGGUGCGAAAGCGUGGGGAGCAAACAGG
rnacentral:rRNA from 1 species